AUGGCUGAUUUCUGGGGAAUGGGCUUCUUCCUCAGCCUGGAGGAUUACACUUAUUACACUAUUUUCUACCGUAUCCUCUGGAAUAUGCUGAUCAUAGCAUUAUUCGACUUCGUUAUGGAUUUGUGGGAUCGGAGGAGAGAGAGACAGAGGAUGUUCCAACACAGAGGCAACCAGGAAAAUUCUAGAGUUUGGGACUUCCCCACGUCUUCACAGCACUCGAGGAUGCACUCCUCAGCGCCCACGCUAGAUGACGAUAUCUAUGAAAUAAUCUGUCAGUUCAACAGGAACCUUGAUACCUUGAUCAGUUGCUUGGAGAUCUCAAACAAGCGCAUCUUGGAAAUGCCUGAGGACAGCGAUGAUUCCACCACCUGGGUCACAGCAAGUGAAGACAGCUGCUCUUCAAGGGCAUCGCCAUGCCCUUUGAGCACCAGUGGCGAGGAAAUGGAGGCACCUUGCCCUCACCCGAAAACCCAGGAGAACUUGGAAAGCUCCAUCCCAGAAAGGAAAGCGGAGCAGGGACUAAGCCUCAGUGAUCGGAAACAGCCUGAUGUGAUGCUGGUUCCCACGGUGAGGCACCUGCCCUUCAUGGAUGAGGCUAAGAAAAGUCAUCUGGAGGAUCCUAAUGUGAAAAUGCAGGCACCACAGCACCUGGAGAAGAGUUUGUCAGAGGCUGUCCUGGGGCAGAAACAUUCCCGGCUUCCCCAUCCACGGAGGCAUAUGAGGGCGUCCAUCCUCUCGUCCUUCCAGCACAGGCACAGGCAAGCUCGGGCAAGGAAGUCAGCAGCGCAGCGCCGUGGUCAACUUCGAAAAUCUUUUUCCACACCAGAUGCACACACACAAGAAAAGAAGGUUCCAGUCCAAACUGCCUCCUACGGAGUCCCUGAAAGCACUGAAGACCAGCAGAACUGGUUGAUGCAUCUAUGGCUGGAGCAGUACCAAUAUGUUGAGAGACAAAAGGCAAAUUAUGUGCCUGUCCAGGAAGGAUCCAAGCGCGUGGCUCCAUCCAACACUGCAGGCCUGGUUGAUGGACGAGGAGCAACAGUGGGAGAGAGGAAUUCACCCAGGGACAUGGCCAGGAGGCGGCAGAGCUGGAAUAAUACUGCUGCUGGCUGGCAGCCAGAGGGGCUCCUUGAACAUGCAUUCACGGGAAAGAUUACAUCAUUUGUGCGGAGUAAGCUGAAGCGGAUAAAAACGGUAGGGGCAUCCAUACUGAUUGGCGUGGAGAAGAAAAGUGAGUGAGCGCAUGACCCGGGUGCGAUCGGCCAUGCGCAGCGGCUGCACGGUUAUAAAAGACAGUGCGAAAGUUCCAGAAAACGAGAGUUGACUCCACAGCAUCUGUGAUUGUGUCUCUCCCUGGGAUGGGAUCCCAGUUCUUUAGGGUCUAUUAAUUAUCACGCUGCGACAGGAGGCUUCUGCCACAUUGUGAACCAUUCAGGCCCCGGCCAGCACAUGCAGAGAUGAGGCCCAGGCACAAGGCAGCAGGACACAGGACACCUAGGCCAGGGACACCACCUCUACCACAGAGCUGCUGCUUUGUGACGGCCCUCCUGUGCCUUUGCAUUCAGUGUGCCAGGGUCAAGCUCCAAGCUGCUGGCAAGGCCCUCUAUUCCAUGAUCAAGAAGAGAGGUGAGGAGCCCUCAAGGAAGGGAAGACGGCCUGUGUAGACACAGAUCGACGUGAGACUAGAGGAUCACCCAAACUACUGGGCAAAAGGGAAAGCCCACAUCCGCCUCUGGAGGCAGUGAAGGAGGACUUGGUGGCAUCUCAAGAUAAGACUUUCAGUGGUGCCAGUGAGGCCAGGCACAGAAAGGGGCUGAGCCAGAGUGGCAGCAGCCACAGGCACGUGGAGAUGCUGGCUCCUGUUGCCUGUAGGGAGCCAGCCCACGUGCUGCUUCCUGGGAGCGGGCUGCUCUUGGAGCCCCAAGCUCCUGCCCCGUCUGAGAGUGUUCUUCAUCCUGCUGGUGUCCAGGCGGGCACAGCGCCAGUGAGCAGCAGAUUGCUACCAGAUGAUACCAGGGGUCAGGAGCAGAAGGGCAAGGGACACACCCAGGACAAGCCAGCUCCUCCAAGAAAAACGUCCCCACUGAGAAAGCACUUCUUCAAUGAGCAGAGACACUCAGGUCUGCCACAGACUCCAAAUGCCACUGGGACCGAGUCUCUAACCUGCGUCAUGAAGUGGUUCUUCAAAAGAAUUAGAAAGUUGAACAAAGCCAGACAAACUGCUGAUGAGCUGCAGCAGCAGGUGCAGGCUUCUAUUUCAAAACUGCUCACAAACAAUGUCAAGCAACCAAGGACAGACUUGGCAGCAGAGGAACCUGUGGCGAGGACACAGAGUGGAAGAGAAGGGCAAGAGAUGCACCAAGAACAGAUCUGACUCUGGGACACUCUGCCCUACAUGUACCAAAGCACCACACUGCAGCCAGGCAGGCAGUGAAAGCUCCCAGAGAUUGGCUGCACCUGCAACUGCAGCCCCAGGUGCAGGAAGAGAAGAGAGCGUGAGAGAAGAAUCCAGUCCCCUCAGGAGGACAGGGGCAAGAGGCAGUAGGCCUGAAAAACACUCCUGCAGAUCAGCAGCCAGAGGAGCUCCUUUGGCUAUGGACAUCAAUCCCUGUAAUUGCAGGAGGGAGCCCACCAGGACACACACUCAGCGAGCAGCAGAUCCCUGUCAUGCCCUACCAGGGAGCAGGAGCUCUCCCAAUAAAUGGACCUCUGGAAGCCA
ensembl:lncRNA uncharacterized LOC110397092